AAGGAAAACAGUGACAUGUGCAAG
rnacentral:piRNA from 1 species